CAUGGUAGAACCAGGAAGUAUAAAUGGAUAUGAGAUCCUUGUCAGAUCCUUUUGCCUGUGGACCAGAAAGAAGAUUAGUAACAAAGGAUUGGAAUACAACUUCAGUGAAGAGCCUAAAGUUUGAGAUGGUCUGCGAAUGUCGAGCAGACGUGGAUCAUGAACGCGUCACUCAGAGGGACAGGAAGACGUGAGGAAACGAGGCCUCGGCUGAACAGAGUGAAAGGUAUUCAGGAGGGAGAGGACAACGUCGCCCCAAUGGACAAUUUACUGCCCUUCUCUGGGAAUUCCACAUGAUCCAGGUAUGGGAAUGGAUAGUGGGAAAGGCCGGAGCAGUGAACUCACCCUGGCAGUUUUAUCUUGAUUGUCAGAUAAAACGGUAUCUGCUGCUCUAAAGCUGAACGUCUUUAGCAAGAAGCACUUUAGCUCCUUCUCACGUUCUGGCUUCUGAUAAAAAAAAAAAAAAGAAGAAAAAAAAAUUGCACAAACACCAUGUCAUUAGCAAGGCCAAUAAAAGCACACAGAGGCCUGGAGCUUCUUCUGAAGCCUUCUCUUUAAAGCAGAAACAUACUUGUGGAGAAAUAAAACCCUUUCUUUCAAGUUCAUCAAUCAAAA